rnacentral:rRNA from 1 species
AGAGUUUGAUCCUGGCUCAGAACGAACGCUGGCGGCAGGCUUAACACAUGCAAGUCGAACGAGUAAGAGCCGUAGCAAUACGGAGUUCUGCUAGUGGCGCACGGGUGAGUAACGCGUGGGAAUAUGCCCUUUAGUACGGAAUAACAGUUGGAAACGACUGCUAAUACCGUAUACGCCCUUCGGGGGAAAGAUUUAUCGCUAAAGGAUUAGCCCGCGUGAGAUUAGGUAGUUGGUGGGGUAAUGGCCUACCAAGCCUACGAUCUCUAGCCGGUCUGAGAGGACGAUCGGCCACACUGGAACUGAGACACGGUCCAGACUCCUACGGGAGGCAGCAGUGGGGAAUAUUGGACAAUGGGCGAAAGCCUGAUCCAGCCAUGCCGCGUGAGUGAUGAAGGCCUUAGGGUUGUAAAGCUCUUUUGUCAGGGAAGAUAUUGACGGUACCUGAAGAAUAAGCACCGGCUAACUUCGAGCCAGCAGCCGCGGUAAUACGAAGGGUGCUAGCGUUGUUCGGAAUUACUGGGCGUAAAGCGCGCGCAGGCGGUCUAUCAAGUCAGAGGUGAAAUGCCGAAGCUCAACUUCGGAACUGCCUUUGGAACUGUUAGACUAGAAUAUGGGAGGGGAUAGCGGAAUUCCUAAUGUAGAGGUGAAAUUCGUAGAUAUUAGGAGGAACACCGGUGGCGAAGGCGGCUAUCUGGCCCAUUAUUGACGCUGAGGCGCGAAGGCGUGGGGAUCAAACAGGAUUAGAUACCCUGGUAGUCCACGCUGUAAACGAUGAGUGCUAGCUGUUGGGACCUUAGGUCUCAGUGGCGCAGCUAACGCAUUAAGCACUCCGCCUGGGGAGUACGGUCGCAAGAUUAAAACUCAAAGGAAUUGACGGGGACCCGCACAAGCGGUGGAGCAUGUGGUUUAAUUCGAGGCAACGCGAAGAACCUUACCAGGACUUGACAUGUCCAGUUUGGAUUUCAGAAAUGAUUUCCUUCAGUUUGGCUGGCUGGAACACAGGUGCUGCAUGGCUGUCGUCAGCUCGUGUCGUGAGAUGUUGGGUUAAGUCCCGCAACGAGCGCAACCCUCAUCUUUAGUUGCUACCAUUUAGUUGAGCACUCUAAAGAAACUGCCGGUGAUAAGCCGGAGGAAGGUGGGGAUGACGUCAAGUCUUCAUGGCCCUUAUGUCCUGGGCUACACACGUGCUACAAUGGCAGUGACAAUGCGCCGCUACCUCGCGAGGGGAAGCUAAUCGCAAAAAGCUGUCUCAGUUCGGAUUGUACUCUGCAACUCGAGUACAUGAAGUUGGAAUCGCUAGUAAUCGCGCAUCAGCAUGGCGCGGUGAAUACGUUCCCGGGUCUUGUACACACCGCCCGUCACACCAUGGGAGUUGGUUCUACCUUAAGCUGCUGUGCUAACCGCAAGGAGGCAGGCAACCACGGUAGGGUCAGUGACUGGGGUGAAGUCGUAACAAGGUA